rnacentral:rRNA from 1 species
UAGCGAACAGAUAAGGAGCUUGCUCCUUUGACGUUGUAACACGUGGAUAACCUACCUAUAAGACUGGGAUAACUUCGGGAAACCGGAGCUAAUACCGGAUAACAUAUUGAACCGCAUGGUUCAAUAGUGAAAGGCGGCUUUGCUGUCACUUAUAGAUGGAUCCGCGCCGUAUUAGCUAGUUGGUAAGGUAACGGCUUACCAAGGCAACGAUACGUAGCCGACCUGAGAGGGUGAUCGGCCACACUGGAACUGAGACACGGUCCAGACUCCUACGGGAGGCAGCAGUAGGGAAUCUUCCGCAAUGGGCGAAAGCCUGACGGAGCAACGCCGCGUGAGUGAUGAAGGUCUUCGGAUCGUAAAACUCUGUUAUCAGGGAAGAACAAAUGCACAUCUUGACGGUACCUGAUCAGAAAGCCACGGCUAACUACGUGCCAGCAGCCGCGGUAAUACGUAGGUGGCAAGCGUUAUCCGGAAUUAUUGGGCGUAAAGCGCGCGUAGGCGGUUUUUUAAGUCUGAUGUGAAAGCCCACGGCUCAACCGUGGAGGGUCAUUGGAAACUGGAAAACUUGAGUGCAGAAGAGGAAAGUGGAAUUCCAUGUGUAGCGGUGAAAUGCGCAGAGAUAUGGAGGAACACCAGUGGCGAAGGCGACUUUCUGGUCUGUAACUGACGCUGAUGUGCGAAAGCGUGGGGAUCAAACAGGAUUAGAUACCCUGGUAGUCCACGCCGUAAACGAUGAGUGCUAAGUGUUAGGGGGUUUCCGCCCCUUAGUGCUGCAGCUAACGCAUUAAGCACUCCGCCUGGGGAGUACGACCGCAAGGUUGAAACUCAAAGGAAUUGACGGGGACCCGCACAAGCGGUGGAGCAUGUGGUUUAAUUCGAAGCAACGCGAAGAACCUUACCAAAUCUUGACAUCCUUUGACCGCUCUAGAGAUAGAGUCUUCCCCUUCGGGGGACAAAGUGACAGGUGGUGCAUGGUUGUCGUCAGCUCGUGUCGUGAGAUGUUGGGUUAAGUCCCGCAACGAGCGCAACCCUUAAGCUUAGUUGCCAUCAUUAAGUUGGGCACUCUAAGUUGACUGCCGGUGACAAACCGGAGGAAGGUGGGGAUGACGUCAAAUCAUCAUGCCCCUUAUGAUUUGGGCUACACACGUGCUACAAUGGACAAUACAAAGGGCAGCUAAACCGCGAGGUCAAGCAAAUCCCAUAAAGUUGUUCUCAGUUCGGAUUGUAGUCUGCAACUCGACUACAUGAAGCUGGAAUCGCUAGUAAUCGUAGAUCAGCAUGCUACGGUGAAUACCGGGUCUUGUACACACCGCCCGUCACACCACGAGAGUUUGUAACACCCGAAGCCGGUGGAGUAACCAUUUAUGGAGCUCGUCGAAGGUGGGAC